rnacentral:rRNA from 1 species
UGAGGAAUCUUGCGCAAUGGGCGAAAGCCUGACGCAGCCACGCCGCGUGGAGGAAGACACCCCUAUGGGGCGUAAACUCCUUUUAUACGGGAAGAACACCCUGCUCGGCAGGGUCUGACGGUACCGUACGAAUAAGGACCGGCUAACUCCGUGCCAGCAGCCGCGGUAAUACGGAGGGUCCAAGCGUUGUCCGGAAUCACUGGGUGUAAAGGGUGCGCAGGCGGGCGUGUAAGUCAGAGGUGAAAGCCCACGGCCUAACCGUGGAAUUGCCUUUGAUACUGCACGUCUUGAGUCCUGGAGAGGUCGCUGGAAUUCGUGGUGUAGCGGUGAAAUGCGUAGAUAUCACGAGGAACACCUGAAGCGUAGGCGAGCGACUGGACAGGUACUGACGCUGAGGCACGAAAGCGUGGGGAGCGAACAGGAUUAGAUACCCCCGUAGUCC